rnacentral:lncRNA from 1 species
GAGAAAAUUGCUUAGCAGCUUCAAUUGAGGUUGCUGCCUUUCAACCUGUAUAAUAAAAGUAAAAUUCAAUAUAUAACAGAGGAGAGCAAGGAGAAAAACCAUCAUACCAAUAAGAAGACUAUGCAAACCUUACCAAAAGUAGUAGUAGUAAUAAUAAUAAUAAUAAUAAGUAAAUAAAUAAAUAAAUGUAUUAAAACAUUUAAAAUAUUUGAAUUUAAAAAUAUAUUAUUCUUUAUUUAAAAAAAAUUUCAUUAGUUUAAAAAUAAAAACUCAUGGUUAAAGAGUUUUGAAUGAACUUUUACUUUUUUAUGUUUAUCUCUUUAAUAAUUCAAAUAAAUAUUAUAAAACUAUCUAAAUAUAAUUUACAUUUUUACAGUUUUAAGAUCCCUUGUACCGCGAUUGUCAUAUUGUUUUAUUGUAGUUUCUGUUAUGUUUGUGUUGUUUCUGGUACUUCCAUUUACCCUUUCUAGGACAGCUUUGGACUACUUUUCUUAAGCCGAGGUGUAUCGGAAACAACCUCUCUACCUUUGAGGUAGGGGUAAGGACUGGGUACCCUCUAUUCUCUCCAAACCCCACCUAGUAAGACUACACUACUGGGGGUGGCAAUUGAGUGGGUGGAUCAAAUUUGGGCGGUCCAAACGGGUCAAGCCCCAACCCGACCCAAAUUUGACUGGGCCAAAAUUGGUUGGGUCAGCUGGGUUAGGUAAUGGGUGACCCAAACCCAACUAGUUUUUUACUAAGUUUUAAUUGCUUUACUUGUCCUUUUAUAAACUUUUAGUACCUAAUAAAAUUAUUUUUUCAUUAUUAUGGAUAUAUAUAUAUUAUAUCAAAUUAAAAAAAGUCUUUUAAAAAUAUGUUGACAGGAUUUCUCAAAAAUCCAUUUGGGCUACAUAUUAACCUAAUUGUUAAUGGGUUGAACUAAUAAAUGGCCAGGUCAAUAAACAACGCAUAGUUAAAUGGGUUAGGUUUGAUUUUGGCACCCCUAUAAACUACACUGGUUAAGUUGGUGCUGUUGAGAAUAUGGAACACUGAUAUUAGUAAGGUGCAAUAUGAACUUUGUAAAGCUACACAUUGAGCAACAACAACACAUUGAGCAAUAUAAGCUAAUUAUUAUGCACAUAAAGAACCAACAUUUGAGUUUCAUAACCCAAUAUAACAACAGCCAAAGUAAGCUACACAAGCUUGAGCCUCGGAAAACAUCAUACUUGGAAGCUGAUAAAAUAUAACCGACAAAAAGCCGAUUUUUGUCAACAAGAGAAAGGGAAAAAAUCUUUAAUCUUAGAAACAGAUAAAAAAGAGUAGCAGUAUUAGGGUUUUACAACCAAACACACCAAGAAAUCUCCAAUUAUGAAUAAAACCAACAAAAAUCUUAAGUAAGUGAACGAAAGAUCUGAUAAAGAGUGCAAAAAAAAGUGACCUGUGUGAGAAGGCGUAUUAGAGCCAUGUAAAGAUUGAUCUUUUCUUGAACCCCUUUGUCACGUUUCUCUCAAAAACUUCCUCCUCUUUUUCUGUCGAGUUUCUUUCUUGGUGAUUCCUUAUACUGCGAUUUCUUGUGAACUUUAAUUGGCGAUCGAAAAUGGAGAGGCAGGGGAAACUGGAAAGGGAAGGUUGAUUUUUUCCUUCCAAGAGAGACUUAAAAUAUAUAUUAUUUAAAAAUAAAUUAAAGUAAUUGAAC